GCUUAGAUAGCUUAAGUAAAGCGUUAACUUGUGGUGUUAAAGACGUCUUGUCGAGGCUCUAGGUA
rnacentral:tRNA from 1 species